AGUGGUUCUCCGGCUCUUGCCGCUGCGGUGGCUUUGGGUCCCUCUUCGUCUGGCUUUCGCAGCCGAGGAGACUCUCUGGAAAAUGGGCUACUCGAAGAGAGAUGCUCCGUUGCCUCAGGCGGAGGGCGGGGACGCCGGGCCUGCGACACUUCAUCUUUUCCUGGCCCCGAGGUGGCUGGGAUCCGUUCCACCUUCGGCCCAGUUCCCCAGCCAGGCCCCUGAGCCGUUUAGCCCGGAUUUGCGACCCGUGAGGUUUUGAGGACAAGUGAAAAGAGCUCUUUGUGUGGAUUUUGCUGCAAUGUUUCUCUCCUACCCAGUAGGAAUGAGGCCUUAGCUUGCGCGGAAAAACCCAGGCCUGGUUUGAGAACGUGUGAAAAUGCACCGCCUUCUAAGUGGCUUUAUUAUACGUGGAUGUUUAAGUUACUUAAACUACAAGCUCCCUCUCCAAAAGG
rnacentral:lncRNA from 1 species